ACGGGUGAGUAACACGUGGGUAACCUGGCCUCAUACACAUGGAUAACAUACCGAAAGGUAUGCUAAUACAAGAUGAUAUAAGAGAUUCGCAUGGAUUCUUAUCAAAGCUCCGGCGGUAUGAGAUGGACCCGCGUCUGAUUAGCUAGUUGGUAAGGUAAAUGGGCUUACCAAGGCGACGAUCAGUAGCCGACCUGAGAGGGUGAUCGGCCACAUUGGAACUGAGACACGGUCCAAACUCCUACGGGAGGCAGCAGUGGGGAAUAUUGCACAAUGGGCGAAAGCCUGAUGCAGCAACGCCGCGUGAGCGAUGAAGGCCUUCGGGUCGUAAAGCUCUGUCCUCAAGGAAGAUAAUGACGGUACUUGAGGAGGAAGCCCCGGCUAACUACGUG
rnacentral:rRNA from 1 species